CGUACGGUGGCGCAGUUGGUAGCCUUGCACCAAGAAGGUCCUGGGUUCGAUUCCCGGCCAGGGGUCUUUCUGCAUGG